CAGAGGGGGCAAGCGUUGUUCGGAAUUACUGGGCGUAAAGGGCGCGUAGGCGGCCUGCUAAGUCGAACGUGAAAUCCCCGGGCUCAACCCGGGAACUGCGUUCGAGACUGGUGGGCUUGAAUUCGGGAGAGGGAUGCGGAAUUCCAGGUGUAGCGGUGAAAUGCGUAGAUAUCUGGAGGAACACCGGUGGCGAAGGCGGCAUCCUGGACCGACAUUGACGCUGAGGCGCGAAAGCCAGGGGAGCAAACGGGAUUAGAUACCCCGGUAGUCCUGGCCCUAAACGAUGAAUGCUUGGUGUGGCGGGUAUCGAUCCCUGCUGUGCCGAAGCUAACGCAUUAAGCAUUCCGCCUGGGGAGUACGGUCGCAAGGCUG
rnacentral:rRNA from 1 species